UUAUGAUCUAAAGCCAAGCAAUAUUCUUCUCGAUAGUGACUUAACUGCACAUUUGGGUGAUUUCGGGAUAUCAAAAAUUCUUUCAAAAGCCACAUGUAGAUCUCAAAAUCACACGAGCCCAAUCAGAUUAAAGGGAUCUAUUGGCUACAUUGCGCCAGAGUAUGGUGCAGGUGCUGAUGUUUCAAUGCAUGGUGAUGUCUACAGUUAUGGGAUUCUCUUGUUAGAGAUGUUCACAGGGUAGCGGCCUACUCAUGAAAUGUUCAAAGAUAACUUUAAUCUUCACUACUGGGCUGAGAUGGCUUUGCAUGAUGGAGUGAUAGUUGUUGUCGACCCAUCACUUCUCUCCAUGGAAGAAGAUG